AAAAAACUUCCUUUCUUCUUCUUUUUUCUCUCAGACAUCCCUAUGUCCGGCCACGGAGCCGUCGUUGCCCCGCCAUGGCCACCGGUCAUCGACGUCGGAGACCGCCGCCUCCGGUAGGUAGAGAUUGCAAAAAAUAGACCAUUUUUAUCCCUUCUUCUCGAGAAUCCAUAUCUGGGGUCAAAAUCCCUAGAGCUCAAUCGGAGUUCAGUGACAAAAAUGGAACCUCUCGAUUCCUGGUCUUCCUCCGGUGCGGCCUUAGGCGAAUCCUUAAGGAUUCGACAGCCUCUCAGACCAGAUGAGGCACCAACGACGGCGGCAACGGUAAAAAAACUUAAUUAAUUUUUUAAUAUAUGCGUGAUUCAAAAAAAAAAAACAAAGAAAAAGAACUACCUUCUGUUAAAACUAUUGUAGUUUUCUAUUCUCUUUUUUUUGCUUCUCCGUAAAAAAAAUACAUCUCAAUUUUAUGGCUUUUAUAGCCUAUUACAUAUAUAUUUUAUUUUCCUUUUUGUUGUUUAUGUCAUUUUUGUCAUUUGUCUCAUUUCUUUUUUCUUUGCAGGUGUUCACGGCAAGGUCAACGGCGUUGGGUAACCAUGCCUUGCCAUUUUGGUGCAAUGGUGGUAGAGGGUGCAUCAGGCCUCUAGCGGUGAGCAUGCCGACGUGGUGGGGUGCGGCGCGAAAGGGGACUUAGGAUUUUAAGGUUUUCUAAAAAAAUUGGAGGCUGUGGGCUUGGAUUUGUGUAACAUUGGGUUUGGUUUAGGUUUUGUAAAUGAACUUAACUUUUAUUUAUUUUUGUUUUAUUUGUUUGGGUUUAUUUAUUUGCGUUAACAAAC
rnacentral:lncRNA from 1 species